rnacentral:sRNA from 1 species
ACCGAUUGAGAGUGCGCGUUCCCACCUGCCAGGUACUGAUCUCUGGGCACGCGCGCCUGUAGAGACUGCGAAAUCAAGAUUCUCGCACGGGUUAGACAGUAGUCUUCAGGCGUUGGACAGCGCUCCCAGGUACCCUAUGCCUUCUCUGUGUGUGGAGACAGACAGCUUAGAAGACAACAGAGGAACCAACGAAGACUAUUGCAAAAAAAAAGAACAUCUCCCAAAGCUGGGUCUGGUGGCUAACAUUUGAGAAGCUGAGGCAGGAAGAUUGCCUAAACUCAAAGACAACCUGGGCUACAGAGUAAAUUAUAGGCCAGUCUGGAUUGCAGAAUGAGACUAUAGGAAACAGACAAACAAAGAUGUGGG